UGCAGGUUAUGUUGUAGCUCGGAUACCUCUCACGUAACCAUAUUGGAUCAUGUGUAAAAUAUAAAUACAGAGUACUUUUAUCCGCUACUUUUUCUGAUUACUAGAGUGAAGCACUUUCAGUUUCUGUCAAAGAGGCUUAUGCUGCUGACAUCAGAAAGUGUGUAAAAAUCAGUCCAAGAGAUUGAACAUGAAAAGUAGAAUUGGCACUGUUUUGUGUCGACAAGUGUUGCCACACUGGAGGAAACAUUUACAUUCAACUGUGGAGGAUGCUUUCAAAAUCCGUUUGGGGUUCACAGGAAUGCCUGCUGUCAGAUGCUGCCAAGGAAAUUUGCUGAAUCAAUACCUAAAUCUGCUUCCUUUCUGCUUGCACUGCUUUGGCCAAUUUCUAAGGUUGCAAUGACCACCCUUCAGCUUCUUGGCAGAGACAUUUUGUACUUAUCUGGAGUCAUUGAUUUCUUGGGCCCUAAAUAAUGAUCUGGGGUGGACAUAGGAAUAAGAUAUUUCUAUGUCUCAUAGCGAGUGCCUGUUUUUCUUUUUCUUUCCUGAGAAGAAAUAUGUCCCACAGUUACAUUGUACAUGUGUUAGUUCAAAUUAUUUCAGACUUUGAAGUGAUCACAUAGGACCCAAAUGAAUUAAAAAAUAAAAAUAAAAAAAAUGACUACUGAGCA
rnacentral:lncRNA from 1 species